AGCACAGAAAGCUGCAGAGGAGCAGGAUCCAGAAGCAGAAGCUUGUGACUUGGCACCUGUUUCCGGAACCCACUAUGGCCCAACCUUCUCAGAAGAUUUUGCACCUUGAGCCAAAGAGGAUGCAGGGCUCUUGGGACCCAAGAGGCUGAGUAGGGCUCCUGCCCUCCCUCUCCGGCCUGAAGUUUCCCAUUCAUCAGCUGGAACCUUCACACCUGCCCAGAGGACUGCUGACUCGCACUGACGGUGGCCACAAGGUUGAUGAUUCCCUUUCAACAUGAUGAUCCUGGGGCGUGAGACUUAGUGGUGGCUGUCCCCAAGAGCACGCCUGGCAAGAGUACCAGCUGGAAACUGCAUGAGCUUUCUGGGAUGAGGCAUGUGGCCUUUCUUCCAUUGCCUUUUAUUGGUAACAAGUAAGUCACAAAGGCUGGCUCAGUCUCAGGAGGAGGGGACACAGACUCCCGCCUUUCUCAAAGAAUGUAUAGAUUUGUUUAGAACCAUCACAUGAAUCAGUGAGACGUGUGCUCAGUGAUGGUCACUGGGUGGGGAGGAAGCAGUUGGAACACAGACAUGGUAGCUGGAGCUCAAGCAACCAUCUUGGACCAUGAGGACUCCACGGACAGACACCAGGAGCCAACAGCACUGCACAGACAAUAGUGACCAUGCACAGUGAGUAGAAUCUCAACCUGACGCAGGUGAGUCCUAAGAGCUGAGGAGGCCUUGUGUUGCCCUGGGCAUCAAUACCAGUGGUCAGUGCUGGCUGGGUCUCCUCCCUGUCUAUGAGAGCUCUGUGAGCUGCCGACCACGGCAGCAGCUGACUUGGGAAGCACCAAGGGGCUGGUCCAGGGCAGAUGUGCCCAGGCAGGUGGAGGUGUCUGCAUGGGGCAGGGCUAGCCCUGGAGCUACACUGGCCCCUAGGUAGGCCAGGUCGAGUGAGCUGGUGUGAUCACCAGUGGGUUGCUUCUAACCAUUGACAUCUUGGAGAGGGAGGUUUUGAAGUCAACUUUGCUUUAUAGAAACCGGCCCAAUUGCAGGACAGCUUUCUGGAGGGUCCCAAAAAUUGUGGU
rnacentral:lncRNA from 1 species